rnacentral:rRNA from 1 species
CGGCGGACGGGUGAGUAAUGCCUGGGAAUAUGCCCUGAUGUGGGGGAUAACUAUUGGAAACGAUAGCUAAUACCGCAUAAUCUCUUCGGAGCAAAGAGGGGGACCUUCGGGCCUCUCGCGUCAGGAUUAGCCCAGGUGGGAUUAGCUUGUUGGUGAGGUAAUGGCUCACCAAGGCAACGAUCCCUAGCUGGUCUGAGAGGAUGAUCAGCCACACUGGAACUGAGACACGGUCCAGACUCCUACGGGAGGCAGCAGUGGGGAAUAUUGCACAAUGGGGGAAACCCUGAUGCAGCCAUGCCGCGUGUGUGAAGAAGGCCUUCGGGUUGUAAAGCACUUUCAGUAGGGAGGAAGGUAGUGUAGUUAACACCUGCAUUAUUUGACGUUACCUACAGAAGAAGCACCGGCUAACUCCGUGCCAGCAGCCGCGGUAAUACGGAGGGUGCGAGCGUUAAUCGGAAUUACUGGGCGUAAAGCGCAUGCAGGCGGCCUGUUAAGUCAGAUGUGAAAGCCCGGGGCUUAACCUCGGAAUUGCAUUUGAAACUGGCAGGCUAGAGUCUUGUAGAGGGGGGUAGAAUUUCAGGUGUAGCGGUGAAAUGCGUAGAGAUCUGAAGAAUACCAGUGGCGAAGCGGCCCCUGGACAAAGACUGACGCUCAGAUGCGAAAGCGUGGGGAGCAAACAGGACUAGAUACCCUGGUAGUCCACGCCGUAAAC